rnacentral:rRNA from 1 species
GAUGAACGCUGGCGGCGUGCUUAACACAUGCAAGUCGAACGGAAAGGCUCCUGCUUGCAGGGGUACUCGAGUGGCGAACGGGUGAGUAACACGUGGGUGAUCUGCCCUGCACUUCGGGAUAAGCCUGGGAAACUGGGUCUAAUACCGGAUAGGACGAUGGUUUGGAUGCCAUUGUGGAAAGUUUUUCGGUGUGGGAUGAGCUCGCGGCCUAUCAGCUUGUUGGUGGGGUAAUGGCUUACCAAGGCGUCGACUGGUAGCCGGCCUGAGAGGGUGUACGGCCACAUUGGGACUGAGAUACGGCCCAGACUCCUACGGGAGGCAGCAGUGGGGAAUAUUGCACAAUGGGCGCAAGCCUGAUGCAGCGACGCCGCGUGGGGGAUGACGGCCUUCGGGUUGUAAACUCCUUUCGUCAGGGACGAAGCGAAAGUGACGGUACCUGGAUAAGAAGCACCGGCUAACUACGUG